GUGAAUCAUCAAAUCUUUGAACGCAAAUUGCACUCUCCUCGGAGAGUAUGACUGUUUGAGGGUCAGCAUAUAAAAAUCGACGUAGUUGCUGUUUCGCGGUGGCGUUGGGCGGAAAUUGGGUCAUCUUACCUACUUUUGUUUUAAGCGAUUUAAAAUUUUCUUUUGGUUCCAUGAACGUUUCUUAGAUCUAUUUCAUUACACGUUUAAGGUCUUGU
rnacentral:misc_RNA from 1 species